UACAGAGGGGGCAAGCGUUGUUCGGAAUUAUUGGGCGUAAAGGGCGCGUAGGCGGCCCGGUAAGUCAAAGGUGAAAUCCCUCGGCUCAACUGAGGAACUGCCUUUGAAACUGUCGGGCUUGAGGCCGGGAGAGGGAAGUGGAAUUUCCGGUGUAGCGGUGAAAUGCGUAGAUAUCGGAAGGAACAUCAGUGGCGAAAGCGACCUCCUGGACCAAUACUGACGCUCAUGUGCGAAAGCGUGGGGAGCAAACAGG
rnacentral:rRNA from 1 species